rnacentral:rRNA from 1 species
ACGCUGGCGGCGUGCUUAACACAUGCAAGUCGAACGAUGAAGCUAGAGCUUGCUCUGGUGAAUUAGUGGCGAACGGGUGAGUAACACGUGAGUAACCUGCCCCGAACUCUGGGAUAACUGCUGGAAACGGUAGCUAAUACUGGAUACGACCUACGAAGGCAUCUUCUGUAGGUGGAAAGAAUUUCGGUUCGGGAUGGACUCGCGGCCUAUCAGCUUGUUGGUGAGGUAAUGGCUCACCAAGGCGACGACGGGUAGCCGGCCUGAGAGGGUGACCGGCCACACUGGGACUGAGACACGGCCCAGACUCCUACGGGAGGCAGCAGUGGGGAAUAUUGCACAAUGGGCGCAAGCCUGAUGCAGCAACGCCGCGUGAGGGAUGACGGCCUUCGGGUUGUAAACCUCUUUUGGUAGGGAAGAAGCGAAAGUGACGGUACCUGCAGAAAAAGCACCGGCUAACUACGUG